UAUACAACAUGUCCAGUAAACUGAUGAUUCGCUGCUUUGCGAGAUUGAAGUCAUAAAGGACAUGUUCAUUCCUUCAGCUCCUCUCCACGGGCUCUGUCCUCCUGCGGGCCCUCACCUUCCAGCAGGAUGAAGCAUGCGCACAAAUAGCACACCCCAGGCAGCGUCAAACCGUGCAGAUAAAGAGCCAGGGGAGAAAAGAGGCAGCUGGACACUUGAGCCAAGGAAGAACAUGAAGGAGUUGGCGUAGGACCUGUGCCUGGAAAGAUAGGCCACCUCCUUCUCAUAAGUGACAAAAAUCCAAUGCAAAAUCAUUUCAGCAAACAGAGAAUGUAUUGUUGCCCACAGCAGAGAAGUCCGAGGAGUGAACCGAGGCUUAGCUGAUGCCUGUCAGGCACAUUCUCCUGCCCCUUCAUCUCUUGGCCCUGCUCCCACGUUGGGUUUGUUGUCAGAUAGGAGAACGUCAGAGAAUAAAUGGUCACGGCAGCUCCAGGCUCAUGCAGUCUUGGAGCUGGAGUCACAGAGUCUCCCUCCAGGUGCCCUAUCCACCCUGAGCAAAGGCUGGCUGCUCAGCAAGGUCACGUCCCCCUCCACAGCUUCCCAAACAGGAAGGGACGAGGAGGGAAUCAGGAGAUGGAUGGAGAUGGUCAACAGGAGGGCGCGUUUUGGGAGAACACGUGUUCCUGUGUGUGGGGAGAAGGGGAAGAAAAGAAGCUGUGACUGAAAAAGAAGUUGGGAAUGAGACGGAGCCCUAGAAAGCCAUUCUAAAGGUAUGUGUGUGAUUUUUUCGGGAGGGCUGUGGAGGGUUGGUUAUUUUUAGGCACUGAAAAAAUAUUGAUGGUUAUUAAACAGAACAAUGACCAAGUGCAACUGGGAGUUAGGAAACAAGACUAUGGCCAUUCCAAGCACCACAGAGUCGGGAAUUCCUGGAAAUACAAGGAAUUCCUCGCUGGUCAUGAUAGAACCUUCCUGGAUGAUACAGGUAGAAUGGUCAUCUCUUCAGUCAGAAGCUGAGGUGAGCAGGCAGAAUAAUGCCUUCCAAGCAGGAGGAGUGGUAACUACUUCCUGUGGAAAGACAAUAGGAUAAGACAGCAAAAUUGUGAUCCUGAAGGAUUUCCAGUGAAGGAUGGUGGGGAAGCGGGAAUGUCAUCACGGUUUCUACUUAGAGAAUCCUAGUGUAUCAGGACAGCCAUACUGGCUGUUGAAAUAUGAA